GACGAACGCUGGCGGCGUGCCUAAUACAUGCAAGUCGAGCGAACUCUUUAAAAGCUUGCUUUUGAAGAGUUAGCGGCGGACGGGUGAGUAACACGUGGGCAACCUGCCUAUAAGACUGGGAUAACUUCGGGAAACCGGAGCUAAUACCGGAUAAUUCAUAUCUACUCAUGUAGAUAUGCCAAAAGACGGUUUACGCUGUCACUUAUAGAUGGGCCCGCGGCGCAUUAGCUAGUUGGUGAGGUAACGGCUCACCAAGGCAACGAUGCGUAGCCGACCUGAGAGGGUGAUCGGCCACACUGGGACUGAGACACGGCCCAGACUCCUACGGGAGGCUG
rnacentral:rRNA from 1 species